rnacentral:rRNA from 1 species
GAGGGCCGCCACCAGGGGUGGUGGCGGCUGUUUAUUUUUUUCCCACAAGGGAAAAAUACCCCGCCCGGACCGAGAAGGGAUUGAUGGAAUGAUGGCUCUUUUUUCUUCGGUGGGGGGUGGUGCCUGGUCGUUCCUCUUGGUGGAGGAUUUGUUCUUUUGAUUCCAAAACGAGAUAACUCGGUCUGCUAAAUAAACCGUAUAUCCAAAAGUAUGCUCUCUUACUAGAGGGACGAGCGGGGCCCAGCCACAUGAAAUAAAUCAUAACGGUCUGUGAUGGCUGAGAUGUCCUGGGCUGCGCGGGUCCUACACUGCAAAGAAUCAGAGUGCGAGGCCCCUGAUCCCGAAGGAAGGGUAACCCAAGUACAUUCCUUCGGGCUUGGGAUAGGGGAUUUGGAAAUUUUGUCCCUUAACCCCCGGAAUUCCGCGGGAAAACGCCGGGUCUUGAGUUUCGGGUUGAUUGCCUUCCCUGCCCCUUUGGCCCCCCUCUGCCCCGCGGUUCCUGGAUUUUGAAGAAUUAAG